GAGACAUCCCGAUCCCUCUUGUCCUUUCUUGUUAGAGGUGGACGCAUCUGAGACUGGUAUAGGGGCUGUGUUAUCCCAAAGACCCUCGGAUGAUCAACCUUUACAUCCUUGUGGGUAAUAUUGGAAAAAACUGACAGAGACUGAAAAUAGGUAUGACAUAGGAGAUAGAGAACUCUUGGCAAUCAUUUUGACCCUCAAAGAGUGGCG